UCGGUCCCGUUCGGCAUUACGACCCCCGACCAGCCCAACAUCUCCUCGACCCGCUGGCGCACGGUCGCUGACCACAAGCGCAAGCUAUACUUCUUCGAGUCGGCAUUGACGCCGAAUACGUUCUGGGUCGAUCUCAAGACAAUCGACUUCUCCACGGAAACCGGCAAGGUCAAGAGACUCGAUCUGGGGCCGAACCAAACCAAUGUGUUUGCUGGCGAAACCAGCAAGGACUUCAUAGUGGCGGAGCCAUUCAAGUUCCUGGGCCUGUGAUCGCUGCUGGGAUCGCGCUGCUCA
rnacentral:misc_RNA from 1 species